rnacentral:rRNA from 1 species
CAGCCGCCGCGGUAGUACGAAGGGGGCUAGCGUUGCUCGGAAUCACUGGGCGUAAAGGGUGCGUAGGCGGGUUUUUAAGUCAGAGGUGAAAUCCUGGAGCUCAACUCCAGAACUGCCUUUGAUACUGGGAAUCUUGAGUAUGGAAGAGGUGAGUGGAAUUCCGAGUGUAGCGGUGGAAUGCGCAGAUAUCAGGAGGAACACCAAUAGCGAAGGCAGCUCGCUGGGACGUUACUGACACUGAGGCGCGAAAGCGUGGGGAGCGAACAGGAUUAGAUACCCGCGUAGUCCCUGUCUCUUAUCC